UGAAUUGGAGCUGCAGCUGCUGGCCUACACCACAGCUACAGAAACACCGGAUCCCAGCCGCAUAUGUGACGUACACUGCAGUUUGUAGCAGUGCCAGAUCCUUAAUCUACUUUGCAAGGCCAGGGAUUGAAAACCUGCAUCCUUAUGGAUACUAGUUGGGUUCUUAGCCUGCUGAGCCAUAGCAGGAACUCUGGGAAUUUUAUGCAUUUAUGAACAAUGAACACUAAUUUAUGGAACACAUUUCUUGGCAUUAAUUGGAUCAUGAACAUAGAGGGACAAACAUUGAUUUGUCUGAAGUCACAGAUUUUCAAGAACAGUCUUCACACAUAAAAAUUCCAUUGGUCCAUCUAACUGCUCUGGCAUUAGUAGCAAUCAAUACUGAGGAACUGUGGUGUGUGAGGUGAACUCUUUGUUUUGAAAUACGGCAACUCUUCUCUGGUGUAUUCACAUUCUGCUCCCUUCAGAUUAUCCUUGAAUUUAAAAAUACUGUCCUGUCUGAGGCUAUUAAGUGCUAAUAAACAUUAGCAUUAUUCAAUUGAAGGGAGCUAUUUUUCAGUGAUGCGUGAAAAGUGUUUCCAACCUCUGCUUAGGAACUGCUUUGGCGUGGAAAGUAUAAGCUAUUAUUAUUGCUUGUAUAAUACUGUUUUUACUUUGCAGUCUAACUUUGAAAAAAACCACAUAUAUAAUCUAUAAGUAAGUAUAAAAUCUUUAGGAGGUUAGUAAGUAGUGCUAAAAACAAAGUUGGAGAAAUGGGCCAUUUCCCCUGCCCCUGUCCCCUCCCCUUUUACUCCUAAAUCAUCCACUACUCCCGAAAACUAGUGCAGCAGAGUAGAUAGAUACAUGAGCUCUGAAUCCAUUUGCCACACUCUGAAAAAAGUACUGUUACUGUCCCUUCUAAGGAUAAUAAGCAAUAAUACUUAUUUCAGAGAGUGGCUAUGGGAAUAAAUUCCCACAUGAUAAGCACUUAGAAAAGUGUUUAAUACAUAGUAAGUGCUCAAUAAAUCUCAGUUAUUAGUAUAACUACAAGAGCCAGAUACCUUUUGCUAUUAAAAUACUUACAGAAAAGGCACUAUUAUGGUAAAAGUAAUUCAAAUAACUGCUAUUCAUAACAUACUAUUAUGCUCUAAGUGAUUUUCAGGUGAUAUGUUAUCUGUUAAAAGACUAUUAGAUAGUGUGAUAUAAUUUUAGUUAUUCAAGUAAAGGUCUUUUGCAAGUUACUCCAGACUUCAUUUCCUUCCCUAACCAAUUUAUUGCUUUUGAUAUGUUGGAGGGACACACACACACACACACACACACACCAUGUGAUAGAUAGGUCCAUGCUGUUUGUGAGAUGUUUGAAGAGUUCAAAACUUAGCCAAAAAUCACUUUGACUUUAUUCAUUGUAUUUUACAUAUAAAAGACCCUUUUUCCUCAGUCAUUAUAGGGUAAUAUAUAUAAGUCCCAUCUGAUAUAAUAAACAUAUUGAUAAAUUGAGAUAAGUCUAUCCAUCCAUGCCUCCAUCUAACCAACCAUCUCUAACAUAUUCCUUAAGAAACUGUGACCAUAAAAAAGCUCUCACUGCAAUUCCUGCUAUGGUGCAGUGGGUUAAAAAUCAGACUGCAAUGGUUUGGGUCAGUACAGGUUAAAUCCCCAGCCCAGCACAGCAGGUUAAAGGAUCUGGCAUUGCUGUAGCUGUGGAGUAGGCUGCAGCUGUGGCUGUGAUUCAGUCCUUGGCCCUCGAACUUCCAUAUGUCUUGGAUGCGGCCAUAAAAAAAAGCUCUAAUAAUAUGGGAGAUACUGUUAAUACAUAGUUGAACAGUUUUUUAAAAAUUGCAAACCUGUUGUUUUAGACCCCUGCUGGCAAUAAAGAAAAAUAUUUAUUUUUUCAAAGAUUACUGGGAUAUCAUUUGGACAUUUUUCUUUAAAUCAACUAAAUUCCCUAUAUAUGCAAAAGAUAAUAGUGAGGUGACCUAUUCUUUAUAGAGGAAUCUGAAAAAAUUAACUUUUAUACCCUGAAAGGUCAAAUGAGAUCAGAUAUUCUCUUUAUAAUCUAUGAUGGAAGAGUUUAAAUUUAAAUCAAAACAAGGAAUGAAAUGUUAAUGAGUUCUUAUAUAUUCAUACUGAUCACUGAUUACAGAAAAAGGGUUUGAAGCCUGAAACAGCAAAAUUUGUGCCUGUUAAUUUUUUUCUUUUAAAUAAAAAGGAUUAAUCCUGGAGUCUAUAGGCCAGUGCAUCUGACCGCAAUAUGCUAAACUACAUUACUCAAACAUGGCCUGGCACUUAAAUACAAGUAAUUGAAAAUGAACUUGAAUACUUAAAGUAGUGAUGGAUUUUAAUAAGGGUUGGGAUCAUCAAAUCUUUUUCUCACAAACAUGGAUGGUGCACAGGGGGUCAGAGAAUAAAGCAGAACCACCAGAAAUGCUUAUAGUUAAGACAGAAUUAAUUCCAGCUCUGUACUUCAGAGGAUAAUACCUAGCAGCAAAAUGUGAAAUGUAGCUAGAGGGCACCUGCAAAUUCUGUCUGAAGGAUAGAGCCAAAGUGUCAAAACUGUAGAAACCAAAGAGUCCACAAAUCAAGAGACAAUGCAAAAUAAAGAAGAAUGGAAGAUAAAGUCAAAAUCCAUGAGUCUGAAAAAAAAUGCUGGGUUGAAGAAGGAGAUGUAAGGAGAAGUGGGAGUAGGAACAGCUAGAAGGGGCGGGGUCACUAGUUGGUAAUCUGAGGAAUGUGUGCUAUUCCAAGAAUUUAAAAAGCAAUAAAUUUUUGAGACUGGAGCAGCACAAUUUUGAAUCAGAUGUCUGUGCAUUGCUUCAUGUAUGACUUAGCCUUGUUUAAAAGAUAGCUCCAAGAUUUGGGCAAGAAAAGAUUCGUCUAUAUUCAUUAGAAUCAUUUGCAAUGGCUCAACUACCAAGGAAUGACGGAUAAAAAGAAAAUAGGAGAUUCUUAGUGAAAACAUUAAGGUGACUCUGAGAUGUUGUUAUGUGUUACUUAACAUGUAGGACUGUCAUAAUGCAAAAAUGAGAAAACAGGUAUGAAAGUACAAUCUUGGAACAAAAAGAUUUUGUACAAGUGCAGGAUAGGGCAACAAUUAGGGUGUUUCUGCAUUGAGAUGGAAACGUAUUUAAGGUUUUGACAAUAUUUUAAGUCAAAUAGUGACAACUAAAAUAAUUUUUUUCCUAACAGUAUAUUUGUCAUAGGUUUUCCACAUUCCUUGGGUGCUUCUAGUAUAUAAAGGACUUCCUGAUGGAGGGAAGUACUGGAGAAUAAAAAUGGUAGUCUCAGUUUUGGUGGAAAAAGUUGAUUGAUUGACAUCCUGCUCUGUUUCUCUGCUUAAUAUCUCAAGCUAGUAAUACAGGAUGGUGAAUGUUGCCCUUAUUUGCCACGCUGCCAACUGUACAGAUGCCAAUGUGUAGUGAACUUCAGUUUCUCACAUUUCUCAUCAAGGCUGAAAGUAAUUUAUACUAGUUCUCGUGCUGUUAAAUCAUCUUCUAUGCUAUUUACAGAUAUUACACAAAAUCAUUACAGAGAUGCAAAUAGAGAUGAUUUUAAGUAUAAACCUUUAACUGUAUAGUCUCCUUAUCAUUCUUUUAUAGUCAACAUUUUUUAAAAGGAGGAUAUCUUUGGCUACCAAAGAAAAAGAGAUAAUAAUUUUUUUACUUUUCAAGCUGCUGUGAGAGGAGGAGGGUGUCUAUCUGCCAACUCCAUCCCAGUAUGAAGUAUAGAGCAUACCUACAAACUGGUUAGACAGCUGCAGUGUAAGCAAGAGCCCAGCAGGUGGCACAAUAAUGGAGAAAUGGCUGGGAUUUUGCCCAGACUAAAGAACCUAAAAAAGAUUUCUGCACACAGAACUGUGUUUUCCUCUCCAGGGUAAAAUAUUUAGUGACCAUAAUGAGUCCUAAACUUAGAAAGAAAUUCUGUGGAAAUAAGUGUAAAUUCAUGAAAUGAUUUACGAUGGCAACUAUGAAACAGUAAAUAUUUGUGGAGUCUGAGGCAAAAGUAGAAACGGAGCCUGGUAUACUGCAUUUCUAAAUAUUCAAAGUUAUAAGUCAAAAUAUCAAAUUUUAAAAACAUGUUCUUCAAUUGCACCUUCAGGAUCCCGUGGUCCUGCUAGGUGUCCAUCUGCACUCUUUCCAUGCCCCAUACUCAGCCAUCCCUUGGCCACCCUUGAGUUGAGGCUAGGGAGUUGCACCAGUGGUAUGGUUCUCCCUCAGAGAAUGGACUGGGGAUGAAUGGCUGUGGGUCCAGAAAACGGGAUCAGGACAGUCUGGAUAAACAAUUAUGGGGACUGGAUACCUGGAUGGCCUAGAAAAAGUGCACAGGCUCCUGGCAGACAUGUACCCUUGACUCUGCAAACUCCUCAAUUAGUGGGAAGAGAAGUGGCCAAAAGAAGCCCAGAGGAAGACUGAGUGUAAGGCCAGGGGAGCUCUACUACAGCUACAUUUUUCCUUUUUCUUUUUGUCUUUUUAGGGCCACACCCGUGGCACGUGGAGGUUCCGAGGCCAGGGGUCCAAUUGUAGCUGUAGCUGCUGGCCUACACACAGCCACAGCAACGCCAGAUCUGAGCCACAUCUGUGAUCCACACCACAGCUCUCAGCAACGCUGGAUCGUUAACCCACUGAGGGAGACCAGGGAUCAAACCUGCAUCCUCAUGGAUACUAAUCUGCUGAGCCAUGAUGAGAACUCCAUCUGCUACAUUUUAAUAAGAGCUAAUGUAUAUAGUGUUUUUCCAUUUGCAUUUAACUUCCAGGUUCUUAAUCUUAUUGAAGUUUGACAAACAUCUCUGUGAGGUAGAAAGAAUUUAUUAGUAUAAUUGUAUAGAUGGGGAAAUUGUCUCAUAGAAAUCAUAUGAUGUUAUCAAGGCCCCAAAACAUGCACAGCACAGUGGCAGAUCUCAUACCCAGGUAUUCUUAGUGUUGGGUUCUUUCCAUUGCACUGCCCUGGGCAGAGGCCUCUAUGGCAGGCAGUCAACUCAGAGCUUAUGUCUUGAGACUUCUGAAUACUUAAAAUUGGGGGAAAAGUCCUUUGGAUAACACGUUUAAUUUUCUUCAGCUGGCAUGAUUAAAGGAAAAUUCCAUGCACACCAAAUUGUCCAGGUCUAAAGUUUGGACAUAAAUCCUCCUCCUUAAUGAUACAAGUUUUAGAACUGCACUCUGCUUACAGUGUUUCCUGUAACAGAAACCACAACGGGGCACUCAGUUCUAUUAUACCCCUUUGCCAAAGUCUCAGCAUCUUCCCUAUUCAAAAGACUCAGAAGCAGAGUUUCGAGUUUGGGGUGUAUUUGUCUCAGAUACUUUGGGUUUUUCACCAAAACCGAAGUAAUUGCCUUCUAUUCCUGUCUUAUUGGCCCUUCUCAGUUCUCAGUAUUCAUAUGGUCAAACACAUUCUCUUAGAAUGUUUGAUUAUAAAGCCAAUGCACACUGGGCUUCCUUCCUUGAAAACUGCGCUGCUUGAAAGAUUCUGAUUCUCACUAACUUUUUCAUACUGUGUGUUCUCAUGGUGUGGUCCCACUGCCUAGACUCAGAGCGACUUUCAGACGGUAGUAGUGAAUUCUUUGAAAAAGGAAUCUACAUGAAAACUGAAACUAUGCGGACUUUAUCUAAAAUAAAUACAAAUAGACCUGUUUUUAGUUGAAACAUGCAGAUGAAUUGCUCAGAAUUCCGUGUUGCCAUUUGUGAUGGUUAAUUGUGUGUGUCACCUCGACUGGCCACGGGGUGCCCAGAUUAUACCUUAUUUCUGGGUAUGUCUUUGUGUUUCUGGAUGAGACGAGCAUGUGAAGCAGGGGACUCUGUAAAGCAGACCACCCUCCACAAUGUGAGUGGGCUUCAUCCCACCCACUGAAGGUCUGAUUAAAACAAAAAGGCAGAGGAAAGAGGAAUCUGCCUUUAUUCCUGCUACACUGCUUGAGCUGGGACAUCUCAUCUCAUCUCAUCCUCUUCUGCCCCUGUGCUGGGAUUUGUACCGUUGUGUCCCCUGGUUCUCAGGCCUUUGGACUUGGACUGAAUUACACUGCUGGCUUUUCUGAGUCUCCAGCUUCCAGAUAGCAGAUACUGUGACUUCUCAGCCUUUACAAAAUGUGAAACAAUUCUUGAUCAUAU
rnacentral:lncRNA from 1 species